AAAACAUCUCUUUAUGAUUAUAAUUUUAAGUAGACUCUGCCCAAUGAUUAUUUAUUAAAUGGCUGCAGUAUUUUGACUGUACAAAGGUAGCAUAAUAAAUUGUUUUUUAAUUGAAAACUUGAAUGAAAGAGGUGAUAAAAUAUAAACUUUAUUUAAAUAAAUUAAUGAAUUUUUUUUUUAAGUUAAAAAUCUUAAAUAUUUUUAAGGGACGAGAAGACCCUAUAGAAUUUUAUAUAAUUUAAUUUUAAAUUAAAAAAUUAAAUUUAUAUUUUUUUGGGAGGAAAUUUAAAUUAAUAAACUUUAUUUAAUUAAUUACAUAAAUUUAUGGUUAAUAUUAUAGAUUUUAUUUUAAUAAAUUAUAGAUUAAAUUACCUUAGGGAUAACAGCGUAAUAUUUUUUGAAAGUUCUUAUAGAAAAAAAUGA
rnacentral:rRNA from 1 species